rnacentral:piRNA from 4 species
UACUAAAAUUGGAACGAUACAGA